AUUGAACGCUGGCGGCAUGCUUUACACAUGCAAGUCGGACGGCAGCACAGAGAAGCUUGCUUCUUGGGUGGCGAGUGGCGAACGGGUGAGUAAUAUAUCGGAACGUACCGAGUAAUGGGGGAUAACUAAUCGAAAGAUUAGCUAAUACCGCAUAUUCUCUGAGGAGGAAAGCAGGGGACCUUCGGGCCUUGCGUUAUUCGAGCGGCCGAUAUCUGAUUAGCUAGUUGGUGGGGUAAAGGCCUACCAAGGCGACGAUCAGUAGCGGGUCUGAGAGGAUGAUCCGCCACACUGGGACUGAGACACGGCCCAGACUCCUACGGGAGGCAGCAGUGGGGAAUUUUGGACAAUGGGCGCAAGCCUGAUCCAGCCAUGCCGCGUGUCUGAAGAAGGCCUUCGGGUUGUAAAGGACUUUUGUCAGGGAAGAAAAGGCUGUUGCUAAUAUCGACAGCUGAUGACGGUACCUGAAGAAUAAGCACCGGCUAACUACGUGCCAGCAGCCGCGGUAAUACGUAGGGUGCGAGCGUUAAUCGGAAUUACUGGGCGUAAAGCGAGCGCAGACGGUUACUUAAGCAGGAUGUGAAAUCCCCGGGCUUAACCUGGGAACUGCGUUCUGAACUGGGUGACUAGAGUGUGUCAGAGGGAGGUAGAAUUCCACGUGUAGCAGUGAAAUGCGUAGAGAUGUGGAGGAAUACCGAUGGCGAAGGCAGCCUCCCGGGAUAACACUGACGUUCAUGCUCGAAAGCGUGGGUAGCAAACAGG
rnacentral:rRNA from 1 species